CGCUAGUGAGCAGGAGUUUUUCGAAUUUUAAAUGUAUGAAGAAAUUAUUAAAAAUUAAAUUUUUGACUCAUUAAACGUUUUAUCGGAAAAAAUAUUUGGUACAGGUUGUAGGUAAUAAUAAUAGCAAUCCUCGUUACCAAAUAUUUUUUGCCAAAAUUUUAAAAUAUUUGAAAUAUUUGAAAAAAUGUUCAAAUCUCCAUACAUUUUUUUGACCGAAAACUUCUGCCUUGCUGUAGUUGCUCUUUCUUUGCUCAUACAUGGGCAUCGUAAAUAUACAUGGAUUCAUGUUUAUCCAUCCGUCAAAAUGAAAACAAACAAGCCUCUCCGAAAAGACAGCGCAAAGAAAAAAAAACUACGAAUCUGAAAUAAAUAAUUAAAGAAGUAUUUUUCAAAUAAUAGACAUAUUUAAUAGCUUGCAUAAUAGGUAUUUCUUGUGAAAAUAGUGAAAAACGAUGAGUUCCAGCAGCACAUAUCUUGCGCCAGCGGGAAAAUGUUCACCCUGACGACGACGACGGCGUUGUGACUUUCGCGGGAGCUGAAUCUCAGGAAAUCGAAAAGGACGAUCUACUGAAGAGUUUCUACGAACAGGACACCUUGCAAGAGGAACGGAUGGCUAAUUCCGGCAACCGGAUGCCCUUCCGACUGAAUAAGAACUGACACUCAUAAGCUCUGGACUACUGCAACUCUAUCGUAUUCCAGACCUCACAGGUGAACUUUUUGUUUUUAUCAUUUACGGCUAAGAAACUUACUGCACCAAUAUCAUCGAGGACCACACGAAGCUCAUUUCCAAUAAUAAUCUCUCCACAACUCAUUUGGUAUACCACCCGAUGGAUGCGCUUCCUCUCGCUGUAUGGUGGUAGAUCGAGAGGAAUGGCAUUCAGUUCAACAAGGUGCACGACACGUGGUGGAUGAAGGAACAGAUUAGCUGGAAUCGGAUCAAUAAGCAACAAGUUAUUCUUAUCAAACAUGGUAAUCUAGCGAUAAUUUCUGAACAUUUUCUCCUGAAGAAUCUUUUGUCAUCCAUCACUUCUCAUCGUUGGAAACAAUAUGAACAUAUAGAGUCCGAUUUCAUUACUGUUACUGUUUUAUAUAUUUUUUGUACGUGAAUAAAUAGUACUGCUUGGUGGGGGAAGGGAGGGGGGUUAGUUUAUUAGGGUCUAAAUAAGCAUCCGAAAUUCACUUGGGGGGGGGGGGGGGGUGUCUCUGGCCAAGACUAUUAGUUAUUGGUAAUAAUUAUAAUUUCAGCUGAGAGUCAUUGCGAAAUGGCACGAAAAAGUAAGUAUGCAACGAAAGAAGAAGGUAAGUAUGAAAAUAGAACCAUUCCACUUAACUAACACUCGGAGCUUGCCGUUGAGAAGAUUCACCAUCUUAAGUUGUUUGGUGACGCACAAUAUAUCUACUUUGAAAAUAGUAUCAUUGCUCUUAAAGAGCAUCAGAACUUGUAGUUGAGAAGGUUCACCAAGUCUUCUGGAGUUGUUUGGUGACACACAACACAUCUACUUUGAAAAUGGAACCGUUACUCCUGAUAAUGAGAAGGUUAACCAAGUCCUCUGGAGUUGUUUGGUGACUCACAAUACAUUUAUUUUGAAAAUGGAAAAAUUCCUCCUGAUAAUCAAAACUUUUCGUUGAGAAGGUUCACCAAGUCCUCUGGAGUUGUUUGGUGACAUACAUUGCAUCUACUUUGAAAAUGGAAAAAAUCCUCCUGAUAAUCAGAACUUAUCGUUGAGAAGGUUCACCAAGUCCUCUGGAGUUAUUUGUGACACACAUUUCAUCUACUUUGAAAAUGGUAAAAUUCCUCCUGAUAAUCAGAACUUUUCGUUGAGAAGGUUCACCAAGUCCUCUGGAGUUGUUUGGUGACACACAUUGCAUCUGCUUUAAAAAUGGAAAAAUUCCUCCUGGUAAUCAGAGCUUAUCGUUGAGAAGGUUCACCAAGUCCUCUGGAGUUGUUUGGUGACUCACAAUAUAUCUAUUUUGAAAAUGGAAAGAUUUCUCCUGAUAAUCAAAACUUUUCGUUGAGAAGGUUCACCAAGUCCUCUGGAGUUGUUUGGUGACAUACAUCGCAUCUGCUUUAAAAAUGGAAAAAAUCCUCCUGGUAAUCAGAAUUCAUCGUUGAGGAGGUUCAACAAGUCCUCUGGAGUUGUUUGGUCACACACAUUGCAUCUACUUUGAAAAUGAAAAAAAUCCUGAUAAUCAGAAUUCAUCGUUGAAAAGGUUCACCAAGUCCUCUGGAGUUGUUUGGUGACACACAUUGCAUAUACUUUGAAAAUGGAAAAAAUCCUCCUGAUGAUCAGAACUUAUCGUUGAGAAGGUUCACCAAGUCCUCUGGAGUUGUUUGGUGACACACAUUUCAUCUACUUUGAAAAUGGUAAAAUUCCUUCUGAUAAUCAGAACUUUUCGUUGAGAAGGUUCACCAAGUCCUCUGGAGUUGUUUGGUGACUCACACUAGAUCUACUUUGAAAAUGGAACUUUUACUACUGCUAAUCAAAACUUUUUGUUGAGACGGUUCACCAAGUCCUCUGGAGUUGUUUGGUGACACACAUUGCAUCUGCUUUAAAAAUGGAAAAAUUCCUCCUGGUAAUCAGAACUCAUCGUUGAGAAGGUUCACCAAGUCCUCUGGAGUUGUAUGGUGACUCACACUAGAUCUACUUUGAAAAUGGAACUUUUACUACUGCUAAUCAAAACUUUUUGUUGAGAAGGUUCACCAAGUCCUCUGGAGUUGUUUGGUGACACACAUUGCAUCUGCUUUGAAAAUGGAACUUUUACUCCUGAUAAUCAGAACUCAUCGUUGAGAAGGUUCACCAAGUCCCCUGGAGUUGUUUGGUGACUCACACUAGAUCUACUUCGAAAAUGGAACUUUUACUACUGCUAAUCAAAACUUUUCGUUGAGAAGGUUCACCAAGUCUUCUGGAGUUGUUUGGUGACACACAUUGCAUCUGCUUUAAAAAUGGAAAAAAAUCCUCCUGGUAAUCAGAACUCAUCGUUGAGAAGGAUUACCAAGUCCUCUGGAGUUGUUUGGUGACUCACACUAGAUCUACUUUGAAAAUGGAAUUUUUACUACUGCUAAUCAAAACUUUUCGUUGAGAAGGUUCACCAAGUCCUCUGGAGUUGUUUGGUGACACACAUUGCAUCUGCUUUGAAAAUGGAACUUUUACUACUGCUAAUCAAAACUUUUCGUUGAGAAGGUUCACCAAGUCCUCUGGAGUUGUUUGGUGACUAAUAAUACAUCUACUUUGAAAAUGGAACCGUUACUCCUGAUAAUCAGAACUCAUCGUUGAGAAGGUUCACCAAGUCCUCUGGAGUUGUUUGGUGACUCACACUAGAUCUACUUUGAAAAUGGAACUUUUACUACUGCUAAUCAAAACUUUUCGUUGAGAAGGUUCACCAAGUCCUCUGGAGUUGUUUGGUGACACACAUUGCAUCUGCUUUGAAAAUGGAACUUUUACUCCUGAUAAUCAGAACUCAUCGUUGAGAAGGUUUACCAAGUUCUCUGGAGUUGUUUGGUGACUCACAAUAGAUCUUCUUUGAAAAUGGAACUUUUACUACUGCUAAUCAAAACUUUUCGUUGAGAAGGUUCACCAAAUCCUCUGGAGUUGUUUGGUGACUAAUAAUACAUCUACUUUGAAAAUGGAACCGUUACUCCUGAUAAUCAGAACUCAUCGUUGAGAAGGUUCACCAAGUCCUCUGGAGUUGUUUGGUGACUCACACUAGAUCUACUUUGAAAAUGGAACUUUUACUACUGCUAAUCAAAACUUUUCGUUGAGAAGGUUCACCAAGUCCUCUGGAGUUGUUUGGUGACACACAUUGCAUCUGCUUUAAAAAUGAAAAAAAUCCUCCAGGUAAUCAGAACUCAUCGUUGAGAAGGAUUACCAAGUCCUCUGGAGUUGUUUGGUGACUCACAAUAGAUCUUCUUUGAAAAUGGAACUUUUACUCCUGAUGAUCAGAAUUCAUCGUUGAGAAGGUUCACCAAGUCCUCUGGAGUUGUUUGGUGACUAAUAAUACAUCUACUUUGAAAAUGGAACCGUUACUCCUGAUAAUCAGAACUCAUCGUUGAGAAGGAUUACCAAGUCCUCUGGAGUUGUUUGGUGACUCACACUAGAUCUACUUUGAAAAUGGAACUUUUACUACUGCUAAUCAAAAGUUUUCGUUGAGAAGGUUCCCCAAGUCUUCUGGAGUUGUUUGGUCACACACAUUGCAUCUACUUUGAAAAUGGAAAAAAUCCUCCUGAUAAUCAGAACUCAUCGUUGAGAAGGUUCACCAAGUCCUCUGGAGUUUUUUGGUGAAACACAGUGCUCUACUUUGAAAGGAACUAUUGCUUUUAUAGAGAGCAUCAGAACUUGUCGUUGAGAAGGUUCACCAUGUCUUUUAAUGUUGCGAGGUGAUGCAUUACUAGUCUAUCUAUUGACUCACACUUUUUUCUUGAAUAUCUGAAAUAGUUUAUACCUAGAUGAAUCUAAGGCUUACUGUGACAUAGUAGAAUCUGGUACACAAGUCCUCUCAGGUUGCGAGGUGACACUGUCUAUUUUUUAAUCCAGUUUCGAACGUAAAUCACUCACAUUCCCAUUUACGCCAGCAAAAUCUACGGAUUCGAUCGAUACGUUCGAAAGUGGAUACGCGGUUAACAAGAAUGAGGGUGCAAAAUUUUAAAACGGUUUAUAAUUGAUUUUGGGAUUGAUCACGAAUUUCUUCCAAGUUGCGUUUAGUGACGUAAAAACGUUUAAUUUUUAAUUUG